UACGUAGGCAGCAAGCGCUGUUCGGAAUUACUGGGCGUAAAGAGUGUGUAGGCGGUGCUCCAAGUCUGGUGUGAAAUCUCCCGGCUUAACUGGGAGGGUGCAUUAGAAACUGGAAUGCUAGAGGAUGGGAGAGGUAAGCGGAAUUCCUGGUGUAGCGGUGAAAUGCGUAGAUAUCAGGAGGAACACCUGUGGUGUAGACAGCUUACUGGACCAUUUCUGACGCUGAGACACGAAAGCGUGGGUAGCAAACAGG
rnacentral:rRNA from 1 species